CCAAAGGCUCUUUUCAGAGCCACUUCAGUUUUCAGAGAAAGCUGCU
rfam:Tupaia chinensis contig216720, whole genome shotgun sequence.